rnacentral:rRNA from 1 species
AGUGAACGCUGGCGGUAGGCCUAACACAUGCAAGUCGAACGGCAGCACAGUAAGAGCUUGCUCUUACGGGUGGCGAGUGGCGGACGGGUGAGGAAUACAUCGGAAUUUACUUUUUCGUGGGAGAUAACGUAGGGAAACUUACGCUAAUACCGCAUACGACCUACGGGUGAAAGCAGGGGAUCUUCGGACCUUGCGCGAUUGAAUGAGCCGAUGUCGGAUUAGCUAGUUGGCGGGGUAAAGGCCCACCAAGGCGACGAUCCGUAGCUGGUCUGAGAGGAUGAUCAGCCACACUGGAACUGAGACACGGUCCAGACUCCUACGGGAGGCAGCAGUGGGGAAUAUUGGACAAUGGGCGCAAGCCUGAUCCAGCCAUACCGCGUGGGUGAAGAAGGCCUUCGGGUUGUAAAGCCCUUUUGUUGGGAAAGAAAAGCAGCAGGUUAAUACCCCGCUGUUCUGACGGUACCCAAAGAAUAAGCACCGGCUAACUUCGUG